UGGGGAAUUUUGCACAAUGGGGGAAACCCUGAUGCAGCGACGCCGCGUGAUUUAGAAGGCCUUCGGGUUGUAAAAAUCUUUUGUAUGGGAAGAAAAUGACAGUACCAUACGAAUAAGGACCGGCUAAUUACGUGCCAGCAGCCGCGGUAAUACGUAAGGUCCGAGCGUUGUCCGGAAUCAUUGGGCGUAAAGGGUACGUAGGCGGAUAAGCAAGUUAGAAGUGAAAUCCUAUAGCUCAACUAUAGUAAGCUUUUAAAACUGCUCAUCUUGAGGUAUGGAAGGGAAAGUGGAAUUCCUAGUGUAGCGGUGAAAUGCGCAGAUAUUAGGAGGAAUACCGGUGGCGAAGGCGACUUUCUGGCCCUAUACUGACGCUGAGGUACGAAAGCGUGGGUAGCAAACAGG
rnacentral:rRNA from 1 species